rnacentral:lncRNA from 1 species
AUGGCUAAAAAGGAAAAUAAUAAAAGGACAGUACCUUGGCCAAAAAAGAAAAAAUGUUUAAAUAAUAAUAGAUUGUAUCAUGCCAAAACAGGAAAAUAAUAAAAGGACAGUACCUUGGCCAAAAAGAAAUAUGAUUAGAUUAUAGUAGAUUGUACCAUGCCUAAAAUGGAAAAUAAUAAAAGGACAGUUCCUUGGCCAAAAAGAAAAAUGAUUAAAUUAUAGUAGAUUGUACCAUGCCUAAAAAGGGAAACAAACCAAAGGACAGUACCUUGGCCAAAAAGAAAAAUGAUUAAAUUAUAUAGUAGAUUGUACCAUGCCUAAAAGGAAAAAAAAGGACAGUACCUUGGCUAAACAGAAAAAACAAUAAAAAAAGUAGUACCAUGGCUAAUAAGGAAAUGACAAAAAGAUAGAUCCAUGGCCAUAAAGAGAAAAAUAUAAAAAGACAGCACUAUGGCUAAAUAGAAAAACGAUAAAAGGAC